UGGGGAAUAUUGCACAAUGGGCGCAAGCCUGAUGCAGCCAUGCCGCGUGUGUGAAGAAGGCCUUCGGGUUGUAAAGCACUUUCAGCGAGGAGGAAGGUGGUGAGCUUAAUACGCUCAUCAAUUGACGUUACUCGCAGAAGAAGCACCGGCUAACUCCGUGCCAGCAGCCGCGGUAAUACGGAGGGUGCAAGCGUUAAUCGGAAUUACUGGGCGUAAAGCGCACGCAGGCGGUUUGUUAAGUCAGAUGUGAAAUCCCCGGGCUCAACCUGGGAACUGCAUUUGAAACUGGCAAGCUAGAGUCUCGUAGAGGGGGGUAGAAUUCCAGGUGUAGCGGUGAAAUGCGUAGAGAUCUGGAGGAAUACCGGUGGCGAAGGCGGCCCCCUGGACGAAGACUGACGCUCAGGUGCGAAAGCGUGGGGCAGCAAACAGGAUUAGAUACCCUGGUAGUCCACGCUGUAAACGAUGUCGAUUUGGAGGUUGUGCCCUUGAGGCGUGGCUUCCGGAGCUAACGCGUUAAAUCGACCGCCUGGGGAGUACGGCCGCAAGGUUAAAACUCAAAGGAAUUGACGGGGUCAUAGCUGUUUCCU
rnacentral:rRNA from 1 species